rnacentral:lncRNA from 1 species
GGAAACACCAGACAGUCUGCAGUUAAGUUUACAGCAGCAGGAAGAAGACAUUGGAGAGGUGAAGAAGGAGAGAAAGAAAGAGAGUGAUAGACUGGGGAGGGGAAGGAAGAAAAUACAAAACAGGGAGAGGCACUGGGGGGGUGAAGGAGACAGAUGAGUGAGAAUAGAUAAAGAGAAAGAGAGGGCAGAGUUUGCAAAUGGGGAGAAUGGAGGAUGUAAAGGAGAGGGGGGAAAGGAAGGGAUAGACAGAGAUAGAGGAAUGCGGGGCGAGGGAGAGAGAAACGGGGCUUGGCGUACGGAGGGGGCAGAGAGGAGGAGAGAGAGACAGAGUGUCUGGCUGCAUGUGUCUGGGCUGGACACAGGAGGAGAGAGGGCACUGCACAUUCUGAUCUGACUCUGAUUGGUCGACCAUGAGUGGCAGCAGGGAGGACCCUCCUCCUCAGACACAGGGUUCUGGAGGAGACAGAAAGGUAAGCUAGGCUAACAUGAGUAGGAUGAUGCUGAUAGGCUAACAUGAGUAGGAUAAUGCUGAUAGGCUAACAUGAGUAUGAUGAUGCUGAUAGGCUAACAUGAGUAGGAUGAUGCUGAUAGGCUAACAUGAGUAGGAUGAUGCUGAUAGGCUAACAUAAGUAUGAAGAUGCUGAUAGGCUAACAUAAGUAUGAAGAUGCUGAUAGGCUAACAUGAGUAUGAUGAUGCUGACAGGCUAACAUAAGUAUGAAGAUGCUGAUAGGCUAACAUGAGUAUGAUAAUGCUGAUAGGCUAACAUGAGUAUGAAGAUGCUGAUAGGCUAACAUGAGUAGGAUGAUGCUGAUAAGAUCAGUUUUGGUGAAUUGAUACUGGCUAUAGUCUGUGUGAAAUGAGUUAUUAGUUACUGAGUAAUUACAUGUAAUUACCAAAGAGAGAGACAGUCUCAGCAGUUUGUUGCUUCACUCCCCUGGGACUCUGUCUGGUGACUAACACACCAUUAAUAGUGUAUAGACCAAUCAGCACACCUUUGUUAACAGUGUCAUCAUAAGUGCACUUUUCUACCCACCAAAUCCAGCUCCUACAUUUGUGUACUACACCCCCUCAGAUGCAUUUACACCAGCUCACCCUAUUACACAGCGGCCUCCAGUCUUGGUGUCUGAAUACCUUUUUUAGAUGGGUCCCCAAAUCCCAACUUUAACCCUUAGUGGAUGAAUGAAUAAUAUUGACCCUGUGAUUAUGGAACUUUCAUGUACUCUAACCCAGCAUGGACUCAGCUGUUUGCCCACGGUAGUGCCUCUUUUAAUGGGUAAAAUGAGUCAGCCUCCAUCUGUCAUUAUAAUGGAAAUAAGACUGUGUGUAGAGCGAAGAGGCUCUUGUCCAACAGGUGUUUCAUACAAGCACAGCCCCCCCAAACAGUUAGGAGCACUAAUGAAAAAUCUUUCAUAGAAUAUUCAGUCCUCUGUAAUAUCACAAAUGGGCAAAAGGCGUCUAUCCCUCCUUCUCUCUUAUCCUUCUCUCCAUCCCUUUCUUCUCCAACAGAAUCACACCCUUCUCUUCUUCCCCAUCCAGCCUUUCUCCUCCUCCAUCCAUCUCUCAGGUUGACGUGCAGAGGGGGGAGCCUGUAGUCGAUGUUGAGGUUCAGACAGCAGGUGAAAGAAUGCUGAGGGUGAGGCAGGUGAGACCUAAUGACCUAAUACUGUUCACAGUAUUGAAGAAGUGCUAUGAGACUCUCAAAUGUCAAAUCAGUCAAAUGCAGGCCUAUGUGAUCAAGAAAAUGCCAUUGAGUAUAGGUGGUGUCUCCUCUCAACCUAGGUCCGUGGCUCAACGUGCACUCUAAGGCCACCGUUGUAUGACAAGAGUAUGAACAGGCCCUGUUGUAUAUGCAGGAUCACAGUGAAGAGGAGGAGGAGGAGGGAGGAGAGGAACUGUGGGAUCUAGAAGCAGACACAGAGCUUGUGACCCUGCGGUCCAUGUUGGUGACAGUAAAAUGGGACAAAUGAAUCAAUAAGGAGGUAAUCCCACCUCAUGUAGCCACAGGCCACAGCAACCCUGUCAUUCAAGACACAAGUCACUGAUCCUCAGGGCUUGGUCCUGAGCAGACAGAGAGUACAGAGUGGCAGCAGUCCAGGCCAAGCGGGCAGGAGACAUGGAGCUAGCCAGACGUUAAUAUUGGACAGCAAAGAAAUUAGAGGUGAUGGUUUAAGAGGCAUCUGAGAGAGGAGUGAGUGGACAUCAGUUCCAUACCGCCCCCUCCUGGUGUCAAGAACAGAAGACAAGGUACAAGUCCACUCCCAGCCCCUCCCAGUGCCUCCUGGGGCCUCAGACCAGUCCAGCCAGCUGAUAGAGGUCCUCACACAGCAACAACAGAAGUGUCUGUGCCAGCAGUUCACCCACAUGGGGGAGGUCACUGAGACAACUAGGAGGAAGCGCAGAGGGACCAAACCCGCUCUGUGAGAAGCACUACCUGUCCAGGUACCUGCUAUAUAUCACUCCUCAAACACUACCUGUCCAGAGGCUGCCUCCUACCAGUGUCUGCAGGGCAGAGCGUCUCAACUGCUAUCUACUCAGCCCUCUUCGGCCACCGGGCAUGACCCGGCACGGGCAUCACAUCCACUGCUGGUUCCUCCUGCCUCUGCCUCUCUGCCUAGACCAGCACCCAGAGACCACCACCACCUCACAGCCCGGUCCAACGCAGCCAGGCCGCUGGGGAAAUAAGAAUAGAGGACAACAUCGUCAAAACAACAAUAAUAAAAACAGGCCACUAGAGAGACAGACAGAGAAGAAGUCAGUAAAGGACAGGAUAAUGUUCAUAUGUUACAACGCAAAAAAACACAGUGAAACAGGUCGAAUACCAUCUGAACUUAUACAAUAUCUAAUGCUUGUUUUGGUUUUUUCAUUGCAACAUAUUUUGUUAUGGUGUGUGCUCUAAUGAACACAACCCGGUUUCAGUAAAGAACAUGUUCAAAUGAAUAGAGGACA